CAGCCCAGCCCAUUCGGGCUUGCUGAGCCUUGAGGCCGAGGAGAAUGCACUCCCGGGCUUCGCUGCGGCUUUGCGAAACUACCGGGAGGCUGUGGCUGCCGGUACUUUUCUGGCGGUAGAGUUCACCACUGUGGUGGACUAUUUACAUUUGUUGCAGGCUGCAGCCUAGGCGCUCAAUCCGCUAGGCUCUUCUGCGAUGUUUUACCUGGCUGCGGCCGUGUCAGAUUUCUAUGUUCCUGUCUCUGAAAUGCCUGAACACAAGAUCCAGUCAUCUGGGGGCCUAUUGCAGAUAACAAUGAAGAUGGUGCCAAAAAUGCUUUCUCCUUUGGUUAAAGAUUGGGCUCCAAAAGCAUUUAUAAUUUCCUUCAAGUUGGAGACUGACCCCUCCAUUGUAAUUACUCGUGCUCGGAACGCUUUGGAAGUUUAUCAACAUCAAGUGGUGGUGGCUAAUAUCCUUGAGUCACGACAGUCAUUUGUGGUUACUAUAACCAAAGACUCAGAAACCAAGUUAUUGCUAUCAGAAGAAGAAGUAGAAAAAGGCAUAGAGAUAGAAGAGAAGAUAGUGGAUAAUCUUCGGUCUCGACACACAGCUUUUAUAUGUGACAAAAACUGAAAUAAAGCCCUUGUAGGAUCAAAUGGUGAGAACUAGAAUAAAUCCUUUGCUUUCAUAAGUACAGAAAUAAUGAAGGAAAGGGAAAAAGUGAUGUGCAGGCAAAUAAAAUUUGGGAUUUGUCUUUUAAUGACCAAGACACCUGACACACUCACCUGAAUGUCAUCUUGAUUUUGAAAUUGAACCUAAAGCUUUUUCUCACCUUUAACAAAAGAACUUAAUGGGAAUUAUAUAUUCCUCAAAAUCUACAUGGGAGCCUGAAUAUCAGCCUUCUUCAUACUAUGAAAAGAGGAUUAUGGAUGCAUGAGUGAUCAUGCUUGGAAGAUCAAAUAUUUGUUGAGUGCCUACUAUGUGCCAGGUCCUAUGCUGAGCUGUAAGGAUUAAAACGAUGAACAAAUGUGUCUUGUUUGGAAAAUGGAUGUAUAAAAAAGUACAAUAAAGUGUGUGCCCAAAAGCUG